CAGGGGCUGUCGGGAGCGAGCAAGUUGCUGCAUGGAUUUCUCGGAGCUCCGCGGAACUUACGGAUUAAUCGUAUGUGGAGAGUGAUGGUUUGUCUGUGGGUGCAGAGCUGCAGAGACGAGGGACUUUGCCCUUCUCAUCUAUCUUUACCAUCUGGUUUGUGCAGCAUUUGACUGAGGCGUUAAUCAUUACACCCUGGGGCCACUGCUGCUCCUACAACAGCUGGAAAAGGGAGAUGGACCUGUUGGUGUCCAUCUGUCCUUUUGUCUGUCAGUCCUCGGUGGACUGCUGCAUUAACUGUAUCCCCGCAGCUGUAGGUUCAUGACCUUGGCGUUCCUCGCAAAACUACCACAAAGUUUUUGAAAAAGCUGGAAGGAGCUUCCUGGUGCUCUGUCUCUCAGCCCACGACUUCCUGCAAGUCCGUCACCGACUCCAUCCCAGCAUUUAACUCACAGCACAUCCCAGAGCAGUGACCAGCUGCAGACGGUGGAUUUAGUUCGACCCUGGGACGAGAGAAUCGAGGCAGCUGAAUGACAUCGAGAGCGGCCGCAGCAGCAGCUUGACCAGACUGCCCUUAAGUAAACAGGGAGAGGGACGGACUGGAUCCAGCUGGUUGGCGCCGACUGAUUCUGAUUGCAAAUCGAUUUUGAUGUAAGAAAAAACGUAAUUGCAGAAUAUGAACUGAACUCUGGAUGUGAUCUUCCUGCUCGUUUCAGUCGUGCAGUUUGUGGUGGUCUCAGGGUCGUUUUCGAUGGUGGAUUUAUUAAGAUGCAUUUUUCUAUGGAUGAAUCGUCACUUUAUUAAAUACAGUGUAUAAAGUUCAGAUCUGUUUGGAUCCAUCGCUACUCUGCUGCUUUUCUGUUCUGUCUGUUCACACAGUAAGCAAAGUCUUUACCAGUGCUGUUUUUGGCUGUUACUUAAACUUUUUAAUUGUUACACACUUGCUCUGAUUUCUUUGAAAUUAAAUCCAUGUUUAAAAGAGCAUCAUUAAAUCUUUCAGUUUUCCUUCUUGCAUGAAAAUGUGUCUUUUUUCUUUUUCUU
ensembl:lncRNA